GACGGGGGGGCAAGUGUUCUUCGGAAUGACUGGGCGUAAAGGGCACGGUAGGCGGUGAAUCGGGUUGAAAGUGAAAGUCGCCAAAAAGUGGCGGAAUGCUCUCGAAACCAAUUCACUUGAGUGAGACAGAGGAGAGUGGAAUUUCGUGUGUAGGGGUGAAAUCGUAGAUCUACGAAGGAACGCCAAAAGCGAAGGCAGCUCUCUGGGUCCCUACCGACGCUGGGGUGCGAAAGCAUGGGGAGCGAACAGG
rnacentral:rRNA from 1 species